GUUGCAUAUCAAUUAUACAUUACAGUCAAACGACAUUGAUGCAACGACAGAAGUUCUAACACCAGGUUGGGGUAUUCAUGCUUCACUUCUUGAGCUUGGUAUAUUGCUUCCAGAUGCUACGAUCUCCUGUGCUUGGAAACUGUCAAAUGGUGCCGUCAGAUCUUAAGAAACAGCCCCAUGGCUAUUCGCGUGCUGAAAUCUGCACUCAACGCGGCAGAGGAUGGCCAUGCAGGCC